rnacentral:lncRNA from 1 species
UAGGGUGCUCAGAUGACUAGAAAAUCAACUUGGAAGAUGGAUUGGAGAGAGAAUCGGCCACCCUUCAUAGAUAGCGUGAUGACUCCAUCCACAAGGAUGGCAUCCUCAGUAAAUCCAAUAAGUGGGGAAUCCAUUUUUCCCAGUCGAUUAACAGAUAUUUUCAUCUUUGAGAAGGCAUCAUAAAAUAAGACAUCGGUGGAGCUUCUAUUAUCAAUUAAGACACGACGUACA